rnacentral:rRNA from 1 species
AUUGAACGCUGGCGGCAUGCCUUACACAUGCAAGUCGAACGGCAGCACGGGAGCAAUCCUGGUGGCGAGUGGCGAACGGGUGAGUAAUAUAUCGGAACGUGCCCAGUCGUGGGGGAUAACGCAGCGAAAGCUGUGCUAAUACCGCAUACGAUCUAUGGAUGAAAGCGGGGAUCGCAAGACCUCGCGCGAUUGGAGCGGCCGAUGUCCGAUUAGCUAGUUGGAGGGGUAAGAGCCCACCAAGGCGAUGGUCGGUAGCUGGUCUGAGAGGAUGCUCGGCCACACUGGGACUGAGACACGGCCCAGACUCCUACGGGAGGCAGCAGUGGGGAAUUUUGGACAAUGGGGGCAACCCUGAUCCAGCCAUUCCGCGUGAGUGAAGAAGGCCUUCGGGUUGUAAAGCUCUUUUGUCCGGAACGAAACGGUUAGGUCUAAUAAGCCUGACUACUGACGGUACCGGAAGAAUAAGCACCGGCUAACUACGUGCCAGCAGCCGCGGUAA